UACGAAGGCCCCAAGCGUUAUCCGGAUUUAUUGGGCGUAAAGAGCGCGUAGGUGGUCCGAUGCGUCUCAUCUGAAAUCUCCGAGCUCAACUUGGAGGCUUGGGUGGGAUACGGUCGGACUAGAGGGUGUGAGAGGCAAACGGAACGCACGGUGUAGGGGUGAAAUCCGUUGAUAUCGUGCGGAACACCAAAGGCGAAGGCAGUUUGCUGGCACAUUCCUGACACUCAGUGCGCGAAAGCGUGGGGAGCAAAAAGG
rnacentral:rRNA from 1 species